rnacentral:rRNA from 1 species
AGGCUGAAACUCGCCUACAUGAAGCUGGAGUUACUAGUAAUCGCAGAUCAGAAUGCUGCGGUGAAUGCGUUCCCGGGUCUUGUACACACCGCCCGUCACACCACGGAAGUUGGGGCGCCCGAAGCCACUUAGCUAACCCUUUGGGAAGCGAGUGUCGAAGGUGAAAUCAAUAACUGGGGUGAAGUCGUAACAAGGUAAC